rnacentral:rRNA from 1 species
UACGAGAGGUCCAAACGUUAUUCGGAAUUACUGGGCUUACAGAGUUCGUAGGCGGCUCUACAAGUGAGGUGUGAAAGCCCUCGGCUCAACCGAGGAACUGCGCUUCAAACUGUAGAACUAGAGGGAGAUAGAGGUGAGCAGAACUGAUGGUGGAGCGGUGAAAUGCGUUGAUAUCAUCAGGAACACCGGUGGCGAAAGCGGCUUACUGGGUCUCUUCUGACGCUGAGGUACGAAAGCUAGGGUAGCGAACGGG